rnacentral:rRNA from 1 species
AGAUUGAACGCUGGCGGCAUGCUUUACACAUGCAAGUCGAACGGUAACAGGCCGCAAGGUGCUGACGAGUGGCGAACGGGUGAGUAAUGCAUCGGAACGUGCCCAGUCGUGGGGGGAUAACGCAGCGAAAGCUGUGCUAAUACCGCAUACGAUCUAUGGAUGAAAGCGGGGGACCGAAAGGCCUCGCGCGAUUGGAGCGGCCGAUGUCAGAUUAGCUAGUUGGUGGGGUAAAGGCCCACCAAGGCGACGAUCUGUAGCUGGUCUGAGAGGACGACCAGCCACACUGGAACUGAGACACGGUCCAGACUCCUACGGGAGGCAGCAGUGGGGAAUUUUUGGACAAUGGGCGCAAGCCUGAUCCAGCAAUGCCGCGUGCAGGAAGAAGGCCGUUCGGUUGUAACUGUCUUUAGUUACGGAACGAAACGGUACGUAGGUUAACGUACCGUCGGUCUAAGUCGACGGUAACCGUAACGAAUAAGACGACGGACUAACGUACGUGACCGAGUACGCCGUA